rnacentral:lncRNA from 1 species
AUGAGGACAGAUUGUCCGAGAUUUCUGCUCGCUCCGCAGCUUCUAGUCUCCGGGCUUUUCAAACUCUGACACGGGCUCAGAAAAGGAAGGAGAAUUUCUGGGGCAAAACAUAAACCUAUCUUGAGUUUGUUUUCUUAUGCACAGAACCAUUGGCAUAAUUUUCCUUAAUUGAUCACUAUGUUAGGAAUUUUUGAGUGAUUGAAUUUUCUUCUGGUAUUUCCAAGUUAAAUUAUUUGAUUUUUUUCAUUAGAUCGUUUUACUUGGAAAAUUUUAGCUUACACAAAUUUAACUUCUAAAAAAUUCUUUUAUGUCUCUCCCCAAAUACAAAGGUAGAGAUUAUGUAGUUCUUCACAUGUUCUUUCUUCUGUAUUAGGGGUUGGGGAUAGCUGGGAGAGUUGUGAAUUUCUCCUGUCCUGAGAAUAUUCUGAAGAGAUGAAGUGAAGUGAAAAAUUAAGAUCCAAAUGUGGAAUACAAAGUCUGCCUUUGAUUCAUUCCUGUGCCUGAGGAUCUUCGAACAAGCCAUCCUUCAAGUAGUGACCUGUAUUCAUCUGUUAUGUGAUAACUCUCCCCUGGAAAGUCUAAUUCUGCAAUGUUUUGGCAGGUCUUUACCUAAGGAUAUGAUUUAAAUAUGUUACAAUUAGAAAAGGAGACAGAAGCAUGGUGUUUUUCAGUCUUUAUUCCAUAUUCUAUGCCAGGUUUAUGUUUCUU